rnacentral:rRNA from 1 species
UACGUAGGGAGCAAGCGUUGUCCGGAAUCAUUGGGCGUAAAGAGCGUGUAGGCGGCCUUACAGGUCAGCUGUGAAAACUCGAGGCUCAACCUCGAGACGUCGGUUGAAACCGUAAGGCUAGAGUCCGGAAGAGGAGAGUGGAAUUCCCGGUGUAGCGGUGAAAUGCGCAGAUAUCGGGAAGAACACCCGUGGCGAAGGCGGCUCUCUGGGACGGUACUGACGCUGAGACGCGAAAGCGUGGGGAGCGAACAGG